GCUUGUCUCAGCAGCAACAUGUUAAAUUGGAACAACAUAGAAAAGAUUGGCAUGGCUCUCUUGUCAAGAAUGACAUGCAAAUUUGUGAAGCGUUCCAUCAUUUU
rnacentral:snRNA from 1 species